AGCUCUUUUAUUACCUGGUUAUUAUCUUUCACAUACAUCCAGAAAAAAAGGAAAAUACCAGUAGUUAUGGUGGAAUGAUCAUCAUUCAUAAUUUUGAAAUGUCAACAAUUUUACUGAAACAACCCUUUUCCACUGGAUAAGACUUAGUUAUUCUACUGGUAGCAAAUGAAGGACAGCAUAUGUCAGCCCUCCUGCACUCCCCAGUCAACAGUUGAUCAGCACUGACAAAUUUGCUCACACCUUCUUCCAGUUUUUGCAUGGAUGAAGACUGAAAACACAGAAAAAUGAAAGAAAGAAAGAAAGAAAGAAAGAAAGAAAGAAAGAAAGAAAGAAAGAAAGAAAGAAAGAAAGAAAGAAAGAAAGAAAGAAAGAAAGAAAGAAAGAAAGAAAGAAAGAAAGAAAGAAAGAAAGAAAGAAAGAAAGAUGACCUAAUGUCAGGUUCCUGUUCUUGGGAGAAGGGCUAUGUGACAGUAAAAGAAAUAGGAUUUAUAAAGUUGAAGAAACAUUAGGGGUGGUUUCUUGGGAGAUUCAUUUCCUUUCCUUCACUGUAAAGAAGGUUUCUUCAGGAGACCUUAAGAAAGAGAUGGAGUUGCCAGAGGAUGGACAAAAGAUUUCCAGUCUUUUCUCUGUGACCAGAGAAAUCAAAGCUGAGUAUCUGAGAAAUGCAGGCUUGGCCUUAUUCACUGUCUUUCCUUUCUUGGAAAAUGAGCACUAAAAAAUCCACCAAAGCUUAUGACAUUAGCAGUCAAGCUAAGCAAGCCAGUAGCAUUCCAUUUGCAAGGGCAGAUCUGUGAUGAGACUCUGAAGAUCACAUCACAGAUGUGGUUGCGCAUCACAGAUAUGUUUUUGCCCAGACAGCUGGAGGCAAUGUGGAGGGCAUAUUUUCCACUCAUCUUGGUGUGUAUCCUGGUUCUCACAGGACCCCCACUCCUGCAUCUCUGGGGGGCAGCUCCCCAAACCCUGGUUUUGGCUGGCAGGCUCAGCAGGCAUGCUGGGAGCAACCCGAGUCCCAAAGCUAAACCGUGUAAGGAAACUUAUACCACACAUCAGAAAGAGCCUAGAAAUACACCGAGUGUUAUGGGGCUUGUGAAAGGGAUGUGAGAACCGUGAGGGUUUGCUGGGCCCAGGACUCACUGAGAUGCAGAAGCAGGAAGGCAGCAGGCGUGCAGCUCAGGGCUGUGCUGCUCGACUCCAUCGCUGGGAAUGCUCCUCCCGUCUGCAGAGAGCAGGGCUGGAAAUGUUGUCACUGCCAAGGGAUCUUAUCCUGGAAGACCCAAAUGCUCUGUUAAUAAUGUCUGAUUUUUCAGACCUUGAUGGAUGGGACUUGUGUUCCCAGUCAGCUCCCACCACCCUUCAGCACAGAAAAAUGGAAGCUUAUUGGGAAAGUCACCAGAGCCCUUUGUUUCAGCAAAGAAUCCAUCUGCAGCGUGCCCCUGGAGUUUGGUAAUAAACAUUUCAUUUUACUCAUC